rnacentral:rRNA from 1 species
CAGUCGAGCGACAGACGAGGAGCUUGCUCCUCUGACGUUAGCGGCGGACGGGUGAGUAACACGUGGAUAACCUACCUAUAAGACUGGGAUAACUUCGGGAAACCGGAGCUAAUACCGGAUAAUAUAUUGAACCGCAUGGUUCAAUAGUGAAAGACGGUUUUGCUGUCACUUAUAGAUGGAUCCGCGCCGCAUUAGCUAGUUGGUAAGGUAACGGCUUACCAAGGCAACGAUGCGUAGCCGACCUGAGAGGGUGAUCGGCCACACUGGAACUGAGACACGGUCCAGACUCCUACGGGAGGCAGCAGUAGGGAAUCUUCCGCAAUGGGCGAAAGCCUGACGGAGCAACGCCGCGUGAGUGAUGAAGGUCUUCGGAUCGUAAAACUCUGUUAUUAGGGAAGAACAAAUGUGUAAGUAACUAUGCACGUCUUGACGGUACCUAAUCAGAAAGCCACGGCUAACUACGUGCCAGCAGC